UGGGAUUAGAUACCCCACUAUAUAGAGUAUAAAAUUUAAACCCUAAGUACUAAGACUGAAAAGUUAAAACUUAAACUACAUGGCGGCAGUUAGAAAUUUCAGGGGAACUUGCCGGGUAAAUGAUAAUCCCCAAAAAACACUGCUAUUAUUUUUGGAGUUUGUAUAUCGCCGUCUUCAGCUCUCAUUUAAGAUGAGCUCAAAAUGUUUAAAACAAAAAGACAGGUUAAGAUGCAGCUUAUAUGAUAGUUCAGGUGAGUUACAAUAAAAAAUUAUUUUGGAAAUAUUUUGAAACGAAAUAAGAAAAAUGGACUUGAAAGUAAUUAUUAU
rnacentral:rRNA from 1 species